rnacentral:lncRNA from 1 species
GCUGCAUAAUCAAAUACGAGAUUUAACGUUUAGAUACACAAGAUUAAUACAAAAAAUUUUUUGAAUGAUGCUAAGCGAGAAUAUAUCAGAUACUGAAAGACAGAACACAAUGGUUUUGAACAGGGGGAUGCACUGCAUAGCUUGUGGGGAGAAGGUAAGUUUGGCAAUUUUUUUGGUUAAAUAUUAAAUGUACAAAUACAAAAAAAUCAUCAAACGUUAACUUACUUAACUAAUCGGGAAAGACGCGAACGGGACUAAAGUACCCAUGCGAGGCGCCUUCCGGCGUUAAGAUAACUAUACGUAUAGUAACAAAUUAUAUGAUAUAAGCCGUAAAUAUAACUAUAUGCCUAGUUCAGUGACAGUCAUGAGACAGAAGCGUGUGUCAAACAAUGUCAGAUAUAUUUGCUUGAUUAGCUGUUUAAACGAAGAGAUGCUAUAAAAACUCUGUGCAGAAGCUGUUUUGCAAAUAAUCUUCCAUAGUUUGACAAUCCGGUUGUAGAAGGAGCCCUAGUAAGUACUGCAUGAUAAGCACUAUUAUGAACAGGCCUCACUGCAGGACCUCACUGUUUACAACUGGUAGAGUUAUAUUCACUAAUAUGAUACCAAGCGAAGAUAAGCAUGAUAUCAUUGAUAGACCGCAUCUCCAAGCAAAUAAAUAUAACAGCGAAGGAUCUAAGCGUUCGUUGAAAAGAAAAAUCCGAUUUUUUAAUGUUUAGCCUGCGUGUAUGACCACCCUGGCCUUGAAAUGAGCCUGCCAGUCAUGCAACUCAGGCCAAAUGGGCAACAAUUAAUCGGGCCGAUUUCAGGUUUAACCAAUGAUUGAUUUGAAAAAUACGCUGACGAAUAUUCUUCAUUAACAUUCGGCAAAACCUGAAAUCGGCCCGAUUAAUCGUUAAACGUACCUUAAAAACGUACAGUCAACAUAUAGCGUUAUUUUACAAGAUAAAGCACCCACGUGCUUUCUAUAAAUUUAAGUUUGUUUGCCCAUGUAAAAACGCAUAAAAAUUAAAAUUUUGAAAUGCACACAUAGCCAUGUGGUCAAUUUAUUCUCGUUAGUUUUGAGAGCGUGUGACCACUGUGACGUACAAGAGAGAAAAAUGUCCUCUUGAUAAACAAUUAAAUAUCUGAUGCUUCUCACAAGAACUUCACAUAUUUCCUUCCUUACAAGUUGAAGUUGAGGACACCGAGAGGGUUGAUAGACAAAAACUGUAUUGUCUUUAGCCCGUUCCUGCAUGAACAAGUGUUGGCUAAUGUGGGAUGAAAAUAUUAAACAGAGUCUAUAAACUUGAUUGAACAUCUUCCAACAUAACCGGCCCAACACAUGGGGUGAAUGUAAACACAAACACAUUUCAGACCGGCCAGGGCUGUAAGUGUACCCUUGACAUUGGAACACAGGCAACACAUGCUAACAAAAGCCAUCUAAAAAAGAGAAUUGCCUGGCAAGGGGAAUAAAUUUAAAAUUUUGUGAUUUUCGUACCGGUCUCAUGCCGUAAACAUGAUGACAAAUGAUUUCAACUUUCAUUCCGGGUUGACUUCGUCCGGAUCUCAUGUAAACGGGGCCUAACUCGUUUGUGACACUGGGCCUUUACUCUGAGUCGCACAACAGUGGGAACGAGAGAGGGAAGACAACUGGUUAGCUACUUUUAAAAUAACUUCCUAAAUCGUGCGUGGCAGGCUAUUAAAUCCGUUUAUCACAUGCCGUGUAGAAACGUGUCACGUUUUCUCGUCUACUGACCGGUUCAUCGGAUCGUGCAUUCGUGCCAAAUAUCACUCAGUUAUAAGGCCGAUUUCUUACACAACUUUUGCCUAAAACUGUCGACGCUUGUAAACAAUUGACGUUGAAAUGAAGUCCAAAUAUUACUUUGACUUUUGUUGUCUUGUUUAAAUACUGUAGCUCGAAUCUUGAGUUUACAAGUUGCUAACUGUAUUAAUUCGGAG